AAUACUAUCAUGAUCUGAACACCUGCUCAUGUCUCCUACAUCAAAGAAGAUCAGACGAUUGCACAGAAGCUCAUCAAGUCUGUGAAAUGCAGUGAGAGUGUGAGUUUAACUUUUACCUGUCAAAAGAAAGCCAUGCAUUUCCCAACAUGAAUAUCCCUGCUAACAAUAACAAUGAGCUAACAAUGAGCAGGAAGUUGAGUUCUUCUUCUUUCACUUAAAAUGAGAUCCAAACAUGAUCAAGUACAUAAAGCUUCACCGACUGCAUGAGAAAACAAACAACACUUACAUGUGUACAUUAGGAUGCAGCUUCUCAUCUUCCUUUUGUGUGCCAUUGAGAGAGUUUAAAGCAAACCCAGAUAUACUCACACAUGCAUACAUAAUACAAAAUAUUAGUAAACAGUUAACAGAAAAAAAUAAAAAAUAACAAGUACAAAGGCCCCUCUGCAGGGCAGUGUGUGCGUCACAGACAGACAGACAGAGUUUGAGCUGUGGCACACGGUCAGAGCAGAGCAGAGCAGACAGACAUCUGUCCCCAUGGCAACAGCCUGCUAUGGACUUCCUGUGAGCGGGAAAAAAACUCUUUAUUCCUCCGUCUCUCUCUCUCUCUCUCUCUCUGGAGAUGUAAAUAUGAGACUGCUGAUUUGAAGAGCGCUUGGAAUAAUGAAGGUCUGAUGGAAAGACAGACAGAGAGAGAGAGAGUCUGUUGUAGAGCAGGUGAGACGUGUUCAUAUGCAGCAGAUAUUGAUUCAUUUAGCAGAUGCUUUUAUCCAGAAGUCGAGCGCCACUCAGAUGAAGAUGAGGAUGAUGCUGCAGGAGGUUUUCAGGAUGAAGUGCGUCAGUGUUUGUGAGUCUGCAGACGUCUGUUGAAGGUUCUGAAGGACAGAUUUACUGUAGAUUGUGUUCAUACAGUGUGUGUGUAAUGUGAUUUAAAGAAAGAGCCUCUGCUCUCAUCACUGCAUACAGCAACCACAAACAAUAUUGAAGGAAUAGUUCAGACCAAAAUGUAAAUGUGCUCACCCUCAGAUGUGCUCAGCAAUGGAUGCUCUGCAGUGAAUGGGUGCCGUCAGAAUGAGAGUCCAAACAGCUGAUAAAAACAUCACAAUAAUCCACAAGUAAUCCACAGCACUCCAGUCCAUCAGUGAACAUCUGGAGAAGACAAAAGAUGAAACAAAUCCAGCAUUAAGAUGUUUUUAACUCAAAUACAUAGAGUCUAUAAUCCAUAAUAACACUUCCUGCAGUGAAAAAGAGCAUCUGCUGUUGUCUCUCACAUCAAAAUCCAGACACAUAUUUGUUUAGAGCUGUUUAAACGCUGCUUGAUCUGUGCAGAUUUCUCUCCUGAUUCACACCAGAACACUUUUUCACUGCAGGAAGUGUUAUUAUGGAUUAUAGACUCUAUGUAUUUGAGUUAAAAAAGUCUUAAUGCUGGAUGUGUUUCAUCUUUUGUCUUCUCCAGAUGUUAACUGAUGGACUGGAGUGCUGUGGAUUACUUGUGGAUUAUUGUGAUGUUUUUAUCAGCUGUUUGGACUCUCAUUCUGACGGCACCCAUUCACUGCAGAGCAUCCAUUGCUGAGACACUGAUGCAGUGCUACAUUUCUACAAACCUGAUGAAGAAACACACUCAUCCUGAUCUCAGAUGAACUGAGGGUGAGCACUUUAUCAGCACAAUGCAAGUACAUUUUCAGUGUUUACUGUAUAUAUACGUGUGUGUGUGUGUGUGUGUGUGUGUGGGUGUGUGUGUGGGGUGUGUGUGUGUGUGUGUGUGUGUGUGGGUGGGUGUGUGUGUGUGUGUGUGUGUGUGAGAAGCGUUGGGCUUGACAUGCAGCAGGCCCAGAGGUGCGUUCAGCUUUACUCAGCUCUGAUGUUCAGAUGUUGUUCAGGGUUUCAUCUUUAGCUGGUGUCUCUCUGGACCAUCUGUCUUUCACUCCUCUGAUUGUUGUCUGGCAGCCUCUGUGGGAGAAACUCAAGACCUGAUUGAAAACAGCUCUCUUUCACACAAACAGCUGCUGUGAUGGUCUGUGUGUGAUUUCUGCUGUUUGUUCUGUUUACUUUAAUGAAAUGAUCUGAAGCAGCUCAGUUCUUCAACAUCUCGACUCUUUACUGGGUUUGACCGCAGCGGUGUCUUUUUCUCAUGGCGCGCGAAAGAUUUGGGGAAUACUGGUGUUUGUUUUUGUGUUUUGUGUGACUACAUGAAUAGUUUUUGUUGCAUAAACUAAAUCUGGACAGUGGGUUUGUAGUUCCCAGCAUGGGGAUCUCCAAACUGGACAUGGAGAGUAAAAGUUGAAGAGCUGUUUAAGUUCUGUUGCACUUUUUGUGAUUCUCAUUGUGCUGAGGACUUGUGUAUGAGGGAAUGCAUUUCAUUUCAGAUAAGUUAUAUUUAGCAUGUGUGCACUGCAUAAGAAAAACAGGUUAAUUAACCAAGAUGAGUUUGAUUGUUUGGUGAAACUGCUGUUCAUUUAAACUGACUCAAAGAAACUGAUGUUUUUGGAAUGAAAGAUGUUCAAUUAUGUGUACAACGUUCUAUAAAUGAUUUAGUUAAUUCGUUUUUUUUUUUUUUUAGACAUUUUUUUAGUGGGUGUUCUAUUAGGGUUAGUGAAAAACACCUGCUGAUUGAAUGUGAUGGAAUUGUUAUAAAUCUGCAAAUGUUCAUCACUCCAACACAGUCACAUUUAUUUGUAUAGCGCUUGAUACAAUACAGAUUGAUUUAAAGCAGCUUCAGAGUAAUACACAGGAAGAUAACAGUUUUGAUGCAAAAUUCAUCAGUUGUGAAGCAACUUCAGUUUCAGUGGUAAGCAGCUCUACAGAAGAGUCAUUCUGUGUCAAAUAAACUAUUUCAGAAACCUUGUAGCAGGGGUCAAAAUGACAUUUUUCAUCUGAGAUUCGAAGCCAAAUUACAGGAGGGUUAAAUGACUUCAGAAAGACGGUAGCAUCAUUAUGUUAUUUUCUCACAGAGAUUGGUAGCUUUUUGAAGAAAAAAAAGCUCUUUUUGAAGUUUUUUUUUUUCCCAAAGUUUGCAUGCCUGCACUCAAGAAGUAUAAAGUAUAUAUUAAUGUCCUUUUAGAUUCUAAUUAUUAAUAAACUUUUCUUUUGGUACCUUCAUUUCUAAGGUCCUAUGUGGUUCAGUAACAGAGAGACUGGGAUCUCAAUGUGGCUCCAUGAGUAAAAUUUUCAAUUGCACACAUUCAACAGUCAAAAAACUAAUAUGGGGCACUUUGCAUUCAACUGAUAUUUACUCUAAUUAUAGAGAAAUGUCUGAAGAACAAAUCAUGUUGAAACUAGAAAUGCAUCUCGUUUCCCCUCCAUCAAAAUGAUUGUAUUGAACACACCAGUCUGAGUGAGAAAAAUAAUCCUUUUUCCAAAGUUUGCAUGUCUGUAACUUAGUUAUUUACAUUUACAUUUAAUCAUUUAGCAGACGCUUUUAUCCAAAGCGACUUACAAAUGAGAACAGUAGAAACAAUCAGAUCAACGAGAACAACAACGGUAUACAAGUACCGUUAUCCUAAUAUUCUUUUAGAUGUUGGUUCUUAAGAAACUUUUCUUUUGUUAUCUGUAUUUGUAAGGCCCUGUGUGGUUCAGCUCCAGAGACAUUGGGAUUUAAAUAGUUUAAUAUUACCUGUUUUCAAUGGUUAAAAACCAAAUGAGGGUCACAUUGCAUACAGAUGAUGUUGUAUUUAAAGAGAAAUGUCUGAAGAGCAAAUGAUGUUGAAACUAAAAAUGUAUCUCAUUUCUCUCUAUCAAAAGAAUUGCAUAGAACAAACCUGUCUGAGUGCCAGAAAUAAGUGUAAGUCACCAGUGAUAUAUAAUGCAACCAAGACUUCUGUGAGUAUUUUAAGCAGCGCCCAUCCCAUGAGCCGUGAAUAGUGCAGACAGCUCGACUUCCAGUGGGUGCAUCUUGGCAAAGGAGGAACUGAUGCUAUAAUGGAGAAUGAAAGAAUGGCCAGAAUUAAACCCACUCAUUACAGUGAUGUCGGCCAACAUAGAGACGCAUCUGAUGCCUUUAUUUAGACGUGCAUCUGAGCCAAAGUUCAUUUCUAGAGUUCAUGAUGCUGAUCUGUAUAGCGUUUAAUCACAGCUAUAAACACAGAAACGGAUCCUGUGUUUAGGUGAGUCAGUUUUCUUCUGAAUAACUGUGGAAGAAGAGUGACGUUCAGAGCGCUUCCCACACACUCACGUAUGGAUGCAUAUGAAGCGGCUCGCUAUAACACACGUCGCGUGUUUAUUCUCUCCGCUGCAGGCCUUGAGCUCCUUUGAGAUUCAAACAUGCCCGUGUUUUCAAACCCUUCACCAUCCUCACGUUCAUUCAUUCAUUCAUUCAUUCAUUCAUUUAGUCAAUUGCAUGUUCAUACUUAUUCA
ensembl:lncRNA